UGGGCGGGACGGGGUGGAGUAAUGUCUGGGAAACGUGCCUGAUGGAGGGGGAUAACUACUGGAAACGGUAGCUAAUACCGCAUAACGUCGCAAGACCAAAGAGGGGGACCUUCGGGCCUCUUGCCAUCGGAUGUGCCCAGAUGGGAUUAGCUAGUAGGUGGGGUAACGGCUCACCUAGGCGACGAUCCCUAGCUGGUCUGAGAGGAUGACCAGCCACACUGGAACUGAGACACGGUCCAG
rnacentral:rRNA from 1 species